CCUACGGGAGGCAGCAGUGGGGAAUCUUGCGCAAUGGACGAAAGUCUGACGCAGCGACGCCGCGUGAGGGAUGAAGGCCCUAGGGUUGUAAACCUCUUUCAGAAGGGACGAAGCGAAAGUGACGGUACCUUCAGAAGAAGCCCCGGCUAACUACGUGCCAGCAGCCGCGGUAAU
rnacentral:rRNA from 1 species